rnacentral:rRNA from 1 species
UGCCAGCCGCCGCGGUAACACGGGGGGCGCAAGCGUUAUUCGGAAUUAUUGGGCGUAAAGGGCGCGCAGGCGGUCUUGUCAGUCAGACGUGAAAGCCCGGGGCUCAACCCUGGAAGUGCAUUUGAAACAGCAAGACUUGAAUACUGGAGAGGAAAGCGGAAUUCCGAGUGUAGGGGUGAAAUCCGUAGAUAUUCGGAGGAACACCAGUGGCGAAGGCGGCUUUCUGGACCGAUACUGACGCUGAGACGCGAAAGCGUGGGGAGCAAACAGGAUUAGAUA